rnacentral:rRNA from 1 species
AUUAAUAGAUACUGUCUUUAAAUUUGAAGAAUUUGGCGGUGAUUUAAUCUUGUUAGAGGAAUCUGUUUUUGAAUCGAUACGCCACGUUAAAUUUUACUCAUUUUAUUUAGUUUAUAUACCGUCAUUAGCAGAUAAUUUUAAAAGGAAUUGAAUUAUUAGGGUUUAUUUGUAAAUAAAUUAAAUUAGAUCAAGGUGUAGCUUAUAAAUGAGUUAAAAUGGAUUACAAUAAAAUGUAUUUAUUAUGAAGUAGGAGAGUAAGAGAGUUCUAUGAAGGAGGAUUUAAUUGUAAUAUGGGUUUAAUAAGCCUAAAAGAUAUAAGCACUAAAUCAU